rnacentral:lncRNA from 1 species
GCUGCGUUUGGCACCCUGGUGCAACCGGGCUUCGGUGCAAGUCUGCUUCCCGCUGCCAUGACUGCCUGUUGACCAACCUGGUGAACCCGUCGUGCCUCCUGUGCAUCACUCCGUGUGACGCGGCCUGCAGGAGGGGGGCGACUCCGCUACUGCGCAGCUGCCACUGCCGGCACCUGAGGACGCCCGUGGCGGCGAGGCGGCUGCUUUGCCAUCCCCAUCGGCUGCAGGACCUGCAGCCAUGCCUGGCCCACGACACACGGCAGGACAUCAGGUGGGCGGGCCUGACGGGCGGGGGUCGGUCCGUGUGAGGGAGGGUGUACCACACAGCAUGCAACAGGUGCACCGCGUGACACAUCACGGGAGCAGCACAAUGGGGUGGCGUGCGUCGGCUGGGGAUGGCACGCAGGUGGGCGUCCUCGGGUGCACUUGCUUGCUGCGCUUGGCACCCUGGUGCGGCCGGGCUUCGGUGCAAGUCUGCUUCCCGCUGCCAUGACUGCCUGUUGACCAACCUGGUGAACCCGUCGUGCCUCCUGUGCAUCACUCCGUGUGACGCGGCCUGCAGGAGGGGGGCGACUCCGCUACUGCGCAGCUGCCACCGCCGGCACCUGAGGACGCCCGUGGCGGCGAGGCGGCUGCUUUGCCAUCCCCAUCGGCUGCAGGACCUGCAGCCAUGCCUGGCCCACGACACACGGCAGGACAUCAGGUGGGCGGGCCUGACGGGCGGGGGUCGGUCCGUGUGAGGGAGGGUGUACCACACAGCAUGCAACAGGUGCACCGCGUGACACAUCACGGGAGCAGCACAAUGGGGUGGCGUGCGUCGGCUGGGGAUGGCACGCAGGUGGGCGUCCUCGGGUGCACUUGCUUGCUGCGCUUGGCACCCUGGUGCGGCCGGGCUUCGGUGCAAGUCUGCUUCCCGCUGCCAUGACUGCCUGUUGACCAACCUGGUGAACCCGUCGUGCCUCCUGUGCAUCACUCCGC